AUGGCUACACAAACCAUUGAAGAUAGUUUUAAACCUAGGCCAAAACGAACUGGUGCAGGUAGUUUACUGAAACUCUUGAAUUCGGAAUAUGAGAAAGUCGCCCCGGGUUGGGGGGGUACUCCUUUUAUGGGGGUCGCAAUGGCUACAUAUCUCACUGGUUUGGCGUAA
rnacentral:rRNA from 1 species